GAAGAUUCUUCUAUAGUUGAGAGUGAAACUGUUGACGAAACUGAGGAUGAAAUAGUUGAAACCGAUGUUGGUCCUGGUGAAACUAGUGAAGCUGAGCCUUCAUUGUACAGGUGGUCUACUCCUUGUGUACUUUUUUUUUUAAACAUACAGAUUAAUGGAAUCCAAAUUCAACUCUGGAAAGUAUUCCCAGAAAAAACUUUGGGA
rnacentral:misc_RNA from 1 species